rnacentral:rRNA from 1 species
UACGAGGGGGGCGAGCGUUGUUCGGAAUUAUUGGGCGUAAAGGGUGCGUAGGCGGCCUGACAAGUCUGAUGUGAAAUCCCUGGGCUCAACCCAGGGCCUGCAUCGGAAACUGCCGGGCUUGAGUAUGGGAGAGGUGAGUGGAAUUUCCGGUGUAGCGGUGAAAUGCGUAGAUAUCGGAAGGAACACCAGUGGCGAAAGCGGCUCCCUGGUCCAGCACCGACGUUCAGGCACGAAAGCGUGGGGAGCAAACAGG